rnacentral:misc_RNA from 1 species
CGCAUCUUGCGCCCCUUGGUAUUCCGAGGGGCACGCCUGUUUGAGUGUCGUGAAAUUCUCAAGCCUUAUUACUUUUAGUAGGGUUUUGGAUUUGGAGGUUAUUGCCGGAUUGCUUAUUUAGCUAGUUUGGCUCCUCUUGAAUGUAUUAGUGAGGCUUUGAAGGUGUCUUUCGCCCUCAGUGUGAUAAUUGUCUACGCUGUGAGCGGGCAUCGCUUAGAGAAGACUUGCUGCUUAACUGUCUUUGGACAAUUGCGUCUUAUAUGAAAGUUGACCUCAGAUCAGGUGGGACUACCCGCUGAACUUAA